AGAAAAGAAGCUUAUUCUUUAGCACUUAGCUGUUACCUAAUUACUAGUGGUCAUCCACCUUUUCUA
rnacentral:tRNA from 1 species